rnacentral:rRNA from 1 species
UACGUAGGGUGCAAGCGUUGUCCGGAAUUAUUGGGCGUAAAGAGCUCGUAGGCGGUCUGUCGCGUCUGCUGUGAAAACUCAGGGCUUAACCCUGAGCUUGCAGUGGGUACGGGCAGACUAGAGUGCGGUAGGGGAGACCGGAAUUCCUGGUGUAGCGGUGGAAUGCGCAGAUAUCAGGAGGAACACCGAUGGCGAAGGCAGGUCUCUGGGCCACUACUGACGCUGAGAAGCGAAAGCAUGGGGAGCGAACAGG